rnacentral:rRNA from 1 species
UGGGGAAUAUUGGACAAUGGGCGAAAGCCUGAUCCAGCCAUGCCGCGUGUGUGAAGAAGGUCUUCGGAUUGUAAAGCACUUUAAGUUGGGAAGAAGGGUUGUAGAUUAAUACUCUGCAAUUUUGACGUUACCGACAGAAUAAGCACCGGCUAACUCUGUGCCAGCAGCCGCGGUAAUACAGAGGGUGCAAGCGUUAAUCGGAAUUACUGGGCGUAAAGCGCGCGUAGGUGGUUUGUUAAGUUGGAUGUGAAAUCCCCGGGCUCAACCUGGGAACUGCAUUCAAAACUGACUGACUAGAGUAUGGUAGAGGGUGGUGGAAUUUCCUGUGUAGCGGUGAAAUGCGUAGAUAUAGGAAGGAACACCAGUGGCGAAGGCGACCACCUGGACUAAUACUGACACUGAGGUGCGAAAGCGUGGGGAGCAAACAG